rnacentral:rRNA from 1 species
UACGAGGGGGGCGAGCGUUGUUCGGAAUUACUGGGCGUAAAGCGUGCGCAGGCGGUUUUGUAAGACUGUCGUGAAAUCCCCGGGCUCAACCUGGGAAUGGCGAUGGUGACUGCAAGGCUAGAGUUUGGCAGAGGGGGGUAGAAUUCCACGUGUAGCAGUGAAAUGCGUAGAUAUGUGGAGGAACACCGAUGGCGAAGGCAGCCCCCUGGGUCAAAACUGACGCUCAUGCACGAAAGCGUGGGGAGCAAACAGG